rnacentral:misc_RNA from 1 species
AGGAAAGUCGCAAAACCCAUUAUAGGGAAAAAAAUUAAAAAAUAAAUAAAUUAGAAAUGGGAAGAAGAUUGCCGCGGAUACGAAUCCGGCGGCUGUGCUUUUUUGGAGGAAAAAAAAAUAAUGACUGGGAAUCGUGCGAUGGGCAUAAUGAUGAUGAUAAACAAGAAGCGAAAAUAGACAAAUGUAACCGAAGCGAAGGGAAUCUUCACUGUAAUGAGAUAAGUCAAUCUAGAAAUGGAUCCACUACAUUUCCAGUGGCUUUAUCAUAUGGAAAAGCAGAGCGUGCAGGAAAUUUGAAGAGAGCUGUGCCUGAUUGCCGAGAAAAUUUAGAAGAUGAAAACAAAGAAAAUCCCAACCUUGAUUUCUCAACUAUUCGUUUCCAGGAUCAUAAGGAAACUUGAAAUUCGACUUAAAUCUCAUCCUAUAAUCGACAUGCUUCCUCUAUGAGCUGGAAUGUUUUUACGACCAAAGCGAACAUGUUCAGAUAAUUCAUAUCGCCUCCGAAACCAAACGAGAGUCAUUGAGUAUGGCAAGGAAUUUGCGAAGAACAUAUACGGAGCAGAGGAUGCGAACCAUGAAUGAACAAAAAGAAUGAUCAUUAGAAUAUAAAAUCCAGAGAAUAAUUGAUCGAAAAUAGCCAAGUUAUUCCUAAAACUGCAAUUCUUCAGAGAAAAAUGGCACCCAGAUUUUUUUUUUCUUUUUAAAUCUUCAAACCGAAACCAAAGACACAACCAUUGAGAGAGAUAAGUG